AUUGAACGCUGGCGGCAGGCUUAACACAUGCAAGUCGAGCGAGCGGCACGCGGGUGAGUAAUGUCUGGGACACUGCCUGAGGGAGGGGGAUAAAUUCUGGAAACGGUAGCUAAUACCACAAACCAUCAGCUGUGCCCAUAUGGGAUUAGCUAGUGGGUGGGGUAGUGGCUCACCUAGGCGACGAUCCCUCGCUGGUCUGAGAGGAUGACCAGCCACACUGGAACUGAGACACGGCCCAGACUCCUACGGGAGGCAGCAGUGGGGAAUAUUGCACAAUGGGAGAAAGCCUGAUCCAGCCAUGCCGCGUGUGUGAAGAAGGCCUUCGGGUUGUAAAGAACUUUUAGCGGGGAGGCGUUAUUCGCAGAAGAAGCACCGGCUAACUACGUGCCAGCAGCCGCGGUAAUUC
rnacentral:rRNA from 1 species